rnacentral:rRNA from 1 species
UACGUAGGGGGCAAGCGUUGUCCGGAUUUAUUGGGCGUAAAGAGCGUGUAGGCGGCCAGACAGGUCCAUUGUGAAAACUAGAGGCUUAACCUCUAGACGUCGAUGGAAACCGUCUGGCUAGAGUCCGGAAGAGGAGAAUGGAAUUCCUGGUGUAGCGGUGAAAUGCGCAGAUAUCAGGAAGAACACCCGUGGCUAAGGCGGUUCUCUAGUACGGUACUGACGCUGAGACGCGAAAGCGUGGGGAGCGAACAGG